GCAAAUUUGUAGAUGCCAAUUAAAGACAAACCUGGGAUAUGGGAGAAAACCCACAUGGUCACAGUGAGAACAUGCAAACUCCACACAGCCAACACCCAAGGACUGGAUCGAGCCUGGGUAUCCAGCACUAUGAGGCAGCAGCUCUACCACUGUGUCACCAUUGCCAAACCAAGUUGUGAUGCAUUCAAUAGUAUGCUUUCUAUAAUGGAUUUAUACAAAUUGAUUAGGGUCAUUAGAGACAUGCUUGGUCUUCUGAGGAUGUAGAGGCUUUGGUGCCCUUUCUUGGCUUAGCAUCAAUGUGAAUGGAUCAGGUCACAUCAGGUGGUAUUGAGUUGGAGUAAUGCCUGCAAUUCCGGUCACUGCACUUAAGGGAAGAUAUUAUAGUGCUGGAGAGGGUGCAGAGGAGAUUCAUCAGGCCAUUCCCUGGGAAGGAACAUUUCUAUUGUGAGGAGAAAUGAGAGAAGCUAGGUCUGUUUUCCCUGGAACAGAA